UUUGGGAAAUGAUGCUAAAAUACAGAGAUUUCAAAGGCACUUGCAAUGCUGAUAAUAUUGUAUUUGCACGUCAGUCUGAUCCUAAA